rnacentral:rRNA from 1 species
UGCGGAGGGAUCAUUACACAAAUAUGAAGGCGGGCUGGAACCUCUCGGGGUUACAGCCUUGCUGAAUUAUUCACCCUUGUCUUUUGCGUACUUCUUGUUUCCUUGGUGGGUUCGCCCACCACUAGGACAAACAUAAACCUUUUGUAAUUGCAAUCAGCGUCAGUAACAAAUUAAUAAUUACAACUUUCAACAACGGAUCUCUUGGUUCUGGCAUCGAUGAAGAACGCAGCGAAAUGCGAUAAGUAGUGUGAAUUGCAGAAUUCAGUGAAUCAUCGAAUCUUUGAACGCACAUUGCGCCCUUUGGUAUUCCAAAGGGCAUGCCUGUUCGAGCGUCAUUUGUACCCUCAAGCUUUGCUUGGUGUUGGGCGUCUUGUCUCUAGCUUUGCUGGAGACUCGCCUUAAAGUAAUUGGCAGCCGGCCUACUGGUUUCGGAGCGCAGCACAAGUCGCACUCUCUAUCAGCAAAGGUCUAGCAUCCAUUAAGCCUUUUUUUCAACUUUUGACCUCGGAUCAGGUAGGGAUACCCGCUGAACUUAAGCAUAUCAAUAAGCGGAGGAAAU